UACGUAGGGUGCAAGCGUUAAUCGGAAUUACUGGGCGUAAAGCGUGCGCAGGCGGUUUUGUAAUUUGUCGUGAAAGCCCCGGGCUCAACCUGGGAAUUGCGAUGAAGACUGCAAGGCUAGAAUCUGGCAGAGGGGGGUAGAAUUCCACGUGUGAGCAGUGAAAUGCGUAGAGAUGUGGAGGAACACCGAUGGCGAAGGCAAUCCCCUGGGCCUGCACUGACGCUCGAUGCACGAAAGCGUGGGGAGCAAACACGG
rnacentral:rRNA from 1 species